GGAACUUUUAGGGAUUUAAUGUCAAUGUUGAGUUUCAAGUUAUAUUGGAUAUUUGGUCAUGUUUAGUUUUUAUUCUUUUGAUUCAUAACUUAAAUUUUAGUUUUAAUGAGUCAUAAAUUCAUUAAAGCCUCAAAAAGGGGCCAAGCAGAAUACAUACAUAAUAUAAACAUAGAUAAAAAAAAUUAGUUCCUAGAGCAAAUUCACUCAAAAAAGUCUAAAAAAUGUUAAGUACGAGUAUGUUAUAGCUGGUAAAUUACUAAAUUCAUAACAUCUUUGUAGGUUG
rnacentral:lncRNA from 1 species